UGCAGGUGGCGCAAAUGCUGCAAUGAAGGCAGAGGAAGGGUUAUGGCGGGUGGAUUUAAAAUAACAAGGAGACGCAGUGAACCCGGUUCUGCGGCGAAUAGCUAGAAAGGCGACGGCGGCAAGUUGUAGACAUUGUUUCUCAGUGGUGCAUUUUAGCCUAUAUCAUUGCCAGAGUUCCGCUCUUGUAUUUAUUGCUGAGUUCCGAACAGCUUUCUUCCCAAUGUCCUGCAUCCAUGCGCUUUUCUUUUAUUUUUUGUUUUGCAAACAUCUGCCAACUGACAAACGUAAACUACCACCAAGAGUCCUGACUACUUGACCGGUCUCUCCGCGACGUCCAAGUGCGCAGAAAUCGCGUCCUUCGGAAGGAAAGACGCAGGAAGUUUGACAGUCCCUGCCCUGCUCACCAAGUAAGCCGCUCUCUGUGCCGUGAUCUCUGCUCCUGUGUACCAGGCAUCAUGGGAAAUCAGUCUGACUGUUCAGCUGGAAACCUGUGGCGGCCCUGAAGGGUCGUCAAGGGAACUAGCUACUCUGCCACAGUACUCUUCACACAAUCUCCUAAUCAACAUUGAUGAAUACUGAUUAGACAAGAACAUAAAAAUCUUUUAUGGAAAGGAUCUAACUGCCAAAUGUGCCCUCUUGUUCAUAGAUACCAUGGACUUGAUUCAUGCCCAUUUCCAUCAUAUUGCUACUGCAGAAUUUGACGAGCAUUAAUUAUUGUUCUUUAUUUAAUAUUCUUCAUAACUUGAGCUAUGAUUUUCCUUAUUGUGUUUAUUGAAUGGAAAGCAUUCUGUGUAUCACAUGCAAGCUAAUUAAUGUGUAAACACUGGACUAAUGAUCUGAUGAAGAUCAUCUGACUUAAAUGUAUUAUGAAAUUUGAGAGGGUGUAGGCAUUGUCAUUUUUUACAAAAGCAACAACAGCUUGUUUUAUUAUUUAAUUAUUUUAAAAUAUAUCAAUUUAUUUGAAUCAACAAGUAUUCUUGCUGUUCAAUAAUCAUCAUAGUAGUUUAAGUGAGCAAUGUAAUGGCUAAUUUUGUUCUAGCAUUUCAUCGAUCUUGUGAGCCACCAAGCUUUGUAGAAAAUUGUGCAAGAAACUGUUUAGAACUAUUUCAAAUAGACAUCAUGUGCAUUUAUUUUUCUUGCUAGUUGUUUCCUCAACCUACUGUCUGAUUGCUGUUUGAAAGCCUUUUUGCAAUCCAGCUACUUUUUAUGCUCUGUUGCAUAUUUAUCAUUGUUCAAGGCACCACUUGCAUGCGUUUCCAGUCCUCUAAUGGGAAUCUGUGCAAUGGACUCGUAAUGACAACAUAUUUACCUUGACUUUGACAUUGGGAAUCCUACCACUAAAAAUAUUGAUAAAAAAUGAUCAUGGCCUAUUUAUAGAACAUGCAAAGACAAUAAGCCAUAGCUACACCUAAUAGAUUUUUUGAGAAGUCAUGAAUGGCAACACAAUAAAUAUGUGUGAACAUAUUCACUUUUAAGAGCAUGAAAAUUAUUAUAUUUUCACAUGUUUGUGACCGUGAAUUCU